rnacentral:rRNA from 1 species
AUAUCAAUAAGCGGAGGAAAAGAAACUAACAAGGAUUCCCCUAGUAACGGCGAGUGAAGCGGGAUGAGCUCAAAUUUGAAAUCUGGCUGGUUUACCGGUCCGAGUUGUAAUUUAAAGAAGCGUUUUCGGUGACAGGCCGGGUAUAAAUCCUUUGGAACAGGGUAUCAUAGAGGGUGAGAAUCCCGUCUUUGACUCGGCUGUUGUUACUAUGUGAUACGUUUUCAAAGAGUCGAGUUGUUUGGGAAUGCAGCUCAAAAUGGGUGGUAAAUUUCAUCUAAGGCUAAAUAUUGGCGAGAGACCGAUAGCGAACAAGUACCGUGAGGGAAAGAUGAAAAGAACUUUGAAAAGAGAGUUAAACAGUGC